UCCCCCGAAAAGAGGGCAGUCUCGUCUGAAAAUCCAACAGACGACGCGGGUUUCGCUCGUUUACCCACUUAAGGGCACAGCUCACGCCACGAGCUGACGGCGGCCGUGCAAUACCUGUCUUACGGCUCCCUUGCGGGCACUCUCCUGUUUCCAGGAGAUUCCGUAGAUGUCAAACCCUGGUAAGGUUCUCCGUUUACCGUCGAAUUAAACCACAUGCUCCACCGCUUGUGCGAUCCCCCGUCAAUUCCUUUAUGUUUUAGUCUUGCGACCGUACUCCACAGGCGGCACACUUAACGCGUUAGCUUCGCUACAAGAAGGGUCGAUGCUUCUGAUAGCUAGUGUGCAUCGUUUACGGCGUGGACUAC
rnacentral:misc_RNA from 1 species